ACUCAAAAAGUAAAAAUUAUAUAGUCGGAUAUUUUUCGCUUUAGAAAGGUUAUGGCACGCGCCAACAGCGAAGUGAAAACUAAAGAAAUCAACUAAAGGGGUGAGAAGAAGACUUGGUGAAUUCUGUUUGAGUGAUUGAAAGGGAAGUAUCCAUACUAAUUGUGCGCAUUAAGUUUAAGAUGUUGUGCAUUGAUCUUAGUUUAAAUUACGUAAAUUUUGAAAAUAUUCAAUGGGUUCCAUUAGCCGAAAGUGGAUGAUGAAAUGUUUUGUGCCAAAAAAAUCCCGCAAAGGGUUUAUACACAGCUCUAAAACCGUUGGUCAAGGACUCCGAGGACCCGGAAACAUGUUUGAGAAAGGCGAUGACGAACGUGAAAAACAAACUAACAAAACAAAAAAUCAGAAAUACUAACAAUUAUUGUCCCUUAAUUGAAAAUCUGAAUAAUACGAUCUAAGUCCAGUGGGACUUCGAAAAA